AACGAACGCUGGCGGCAGGCUUAACACAUGCAAGUCGAGCGCCCCGCAAGGGGAGCGGCAGACGGGUGAGUAACGCGUGGGAAUCUACCCAUCUCUACGGAACAACUCCGGGAAACUGGAGCUAAUACCGUAUACGUCCUUUUGGAGAAAGAUUUAUCGGAGAUGGAUGAGCCCGCGUUGGAUUAGCUAGUUGGUGGGGUAAUGGCCUACCAAGGCGACGAUCCAUAGCUGGUCUGAGAGGAUGAUCAGCCACACUGGGACUGAGACACGGCCCAGACUCCUACGGGAGGCAGCAGUGGGGAAUAUUGGACAAUGGGCGCAAGCCUGAUCCAGCCAUGCCGCGUGAGUGAUGAAGGCCCUAGGGUUGUAAAGCUCUUUCACCGGUGAAGAUAAUGACGGUAACCGGAGAAGAAGCCCCGGCUAACUUCGUG
rnacentral:rRNA from 1 species